UAAAUCAAAACUUUCAACAACGGAUCUCUUGGUUCUGGCAUCGAUGAAGAACGCAGCAAAAUGCGAUAAGUAAUGUGAAUUGCAGAAUUCAGUGAAUCAUCGAAUCUUUGAACGCACAUUGCGCCCGCCAGUAUUCUGGCGGGCAUGCCUGUUCGAGCGUCAUUUCAACCCUCAAGCCCCCGGGUUUGGUGUUGGGGAUCGGCGAGCCCUUGCGGCAAGCCGGCCCCGAAAUCUAGUGGCGGUCUCGCUGCAGCUUCCAUUGCGUAGUAGUAAAACCCUCGCAACUGGUACGCGGCGCGGCCAAGCCGUUAAACCCCCAACUUCUGAAUGUUGACCUCGGAUCAGGUAGGAAUACCCGCUGAACUUAAGCAUAUCAAUAA
rnacentral:rRNA from 1 species